UCGCCGCGGACAGGUGGCGGGCCCUCCGCCGCCUCGCCAUUGGCCGGCAUCACGCCGGGUCCGGCGGAGGGGCCAGGGCAGCGGCGUCCGCGCGAGCGUCGAGCUGGCCAAUGAACGCCGCCGGGCGGCCCACGUGAACCGAGCUGUGGGAACCCGGGGCCAGCGGGGAUGAGGGCGCGGCGGAUGGGCGUGGGGGGCGGCGGCGUCGGAAGCAGCUGGUCCCACUCCGGUCGCUAGAACCGUACCCGCCAGCUGCCAGGACGCGCGGACCGACAGCUUAGCGUAGUCCUGUGAACCAGAUCCUUUGCAGUCCGUGGCAGCCCCAUCGCCGAACUGCCAAAGCUGCCUAUACAACCAGCUAGGGUUACGGAACGAUGGAAAAAAAAAUCCUCAGCACAGUACCGAAGACCUCUUGUGACUUUGCAUUUAACAAAGUCAUAAGCAAUUCAGAAGGAUCCGAUUACACCUUGUUUCCUAAGACCUUGUCCUGAGACACCUAGUUCUCCACGUCCUUUUCACAUUACACCAUCCUUCAUUUCUCUAUUCCUGAGGUUGCUGACCACAUUGUAACUGAGCCACAAACACAAGCUGCUUUGCUGGCUUUUUGGAAAAACAAUUUUCAUUGGAAUAAACCCAAAAUUGGCACUUCCUA